UCGGAGGAAGGGUUGGUUUAAAAGCUGUUGAAUUUGAAGAAGUUUCAUACUCGAGUAUCCCUGCAACAGUUGUGUUGUCAAAUGUGCCCUGGCCAGUAAAGUAUGGUCUUGCUAACAUGUAGAAUGAUGCAUUGGGGGCAAUGGGUUUGGUCUUCAGAAGAACAUUUGUGGUCUGUCCUGCUGUGAUAACCAAGAGGUUGGUCUCAAAAGGCUUCGCGUAAGUAGCAUCCACUUCAACAACGGUGAAGGUGUGGUUUGCAAUGCUGAAAAAUAGGUCAUCAUUGAGUGCAACAUUGAUCAAUCGGAGAAGAUACGUCUUUCCUGGCUUCACCUUUAACUUGUAUGUAUCUGCAAGUUAUAAACAUAUGAUACAAAAACAAAUGUCCAAGUGUGUGUUUGUGUUUUUGUAAAAUAAGCUUUCAAGUAUCAAUUUGGGUGACCAAAAGAGUUAUUAUGAUCACUUACUAUUUUCUGAGCAAUUGUACAAUGGACCUGGAAGUCCAUUAAAGGUGUAGGCUUCAGAGACAUUUGGCCCCCCUCCUGUCUGUAAAGCCUGGCUAAUCACUGCCUCAGUAUCAGCAUUGAACCACUCUCCUGUGGUUUAUUCAAUCAAAUGCCUUUUUAAUUAGCUUGUUUGACUUUGCAGAAGAUAACAGCCGGUGAGUAAAAUAACUGAAUUAUGUAGAAUAUUUGUAAAAAUCAAUCUAAAAUUUUAAAAAAAUCAACUUGAGAAGUUAAAUAUGAAGAUUUGGUUAGAAAUUUUAAAAAUUCGAACCGAGAAAUCAAAAAAAGAAAACCCAUUUAGAUAUUUAUUUUGUUUUUAAAAAAUAAAACUAAAAAUAUUAAUUUAUUCUGUUUUUGAAAAUAAAAUCGGUUUUGAUUGGAUUUUUUAGAACGGAUACUUAGAAGAUACGAAGAAAAGAUUAAAAAAAAAAAGGUAGAUAAUUACCCAACAUGAUAGUCACUUCCUUGUGGGGUUUGGCAAAUGGGUAAGAAACGUUGCGCUUAGGUAAGAUGAUAAGGGGUCCAUAGACAGAAGCUCUAAGCCAUGAGAGGUGAGCAUGCCAGAAGAGAGUUCCUCUUUGUCCUGUAAUAGUGAAGUUGUAAACAUAAGUCUGGUUUGUUUGAAUAGGGCAUUGCGUGAUGUAUGCUGGUCCAUCUGCCCAUCCACUUUGAAGUUGUCGAAUUCCAUGCCUGUUCAAUUCAUUUCAUUUCAUCACCAAAAGUAGACGUUAACAAUAUUAAUUAAUUACCACCAAAUAUAGAUAUAAUUUAACUACAUGUCAUUGUUAAUCAAUCCAUGAAUAACAGUGCCAUACAACAGAAAACUCGAUCACUUUCAUACCAAUGGAUGCUGAUAUUAUUUGGAACAUGAUUGACCACCUUCACCACUAAACGGUCACCUUCUCUGGCAACUACGCGAGGCCCCGGGAACUUGCCAUUAACAGUCACCAUGCUCUUCGUGUGGCACAAGCGGGUGACAUUUGUCAGUUCUAUCUGAAAGAACAUUACAAUUAACAAUUAAUGUUACUUGCAUAUGAACAUGAUGAUGAGCUAUCUAGCCAGACUAAAGCAUAAAAUUAAAUGCUUCGCUGAGUGUUAGCAUACGCAAAGUAUAUAUAUAUAUAUAUACACGUACGUUGAACUUGUAGUGCCUCGUAAUGCCUGCAUGCUUUGCACCGGCGACCUCAGGAAAGGCCCAGAGGCAGCUCAUAGCAAAGAGUAGAAUUGUCAGAAGAAUUUCUGGCGAUGCAGGGACUGAAGCACCCAUGCUUUACGUUCCAAAAGUGAAGUUAAAUUUGCUACUUGGUAGAAAGAUGGAUGGAGAUAGGAGCUAGGUAAUAUUGGUGAAACUCAAAACUUUGCUUCUCUUACUGGAAUUAUAUGAUCAUUAGACCCAGUGGAGGGUGUUUAUAUAGGCAAAUAGCUUAUAGUUAGAGCAGCAGUGUCUGGUUGAUUAGGCAAUCGGAUGUCUCAGAUAUGACAAAAGAGAGAGAGAGAGAGAGUUACCUACUGUCGGUUCAUGUUUGAGUUGGAGUGUAAUCAAAGUCAAUUAAUUAGUUAAUUUUACCUGUGCUUUAGCUUUAGUUUGAAUAAUAUGGUGGACGAUUGCCUCAACUUGUUAAUUACAUAAAUAUUUACCAUUAUUGGUUAAUCGAAAGAAAUGUCAGCAUGGCAUUUAUUUUCCUUCUUCGUAAGUAACCCUUUUCAUUGAAAACUCUUCUCGUAGAAAAUUUUCCUCAAAAACCUAUAAACAAGUCGCAUGCUUGUAAAUGAAAUUUGACUUAUUAUGAUCACAUCAAGUGAUGAAAUGUAUCUUCCACCAAAAAAGCAGGAGAAUAUGAGGGAUGGGAAAGAUAAUGAUAGUCAUGCCAAAACCUAUGUUCCAAGGAUAUAUCGGGGGCGCCUACGUAUCUGUAAAUAAAAAUGGAAACCUCUAUAAAUAUAUCUUAUUCAGCUACAGAAUUCGAAGAUCAAACCGUUGGCGUGGAUGACCAGGGCAAUCAAAGAGAUCCCAUUUGCCCUUGAACAUGUUGUUUUUUAGUCAGUUUAACGUUCCAUGCUAAUGAUCAUUUUCAUAUAAGACUUACGUACUCACUGGGACUGUGGGACAUGUACAGUGGUUGGUGAUAACCCAUGUGUCAACCACACUUGAAAAAUAAAAAAGCCAAGGAAGAGAAGGACAUCUGAUCCACCUUACUUCCAAGCAACAAAAGAAUGAUCAUCGAUAUAUAGAGAAUAUAGAGCUUGUUUAACAUAUAUAGUCACUUCUUUCUCUGUAAAUAGCUAGCAAAGCAAUUAAUCUCUUGAUAUUCUUAAACAUGAAGUUACAAUUAUAACGAAUUAAUUAGAAGUAACAAAUAUCAUGUGGGAGUUAACCGUUGAGGUGUCCAUUUUAUGCGAAUCACGUACAUGUUAUAGCCCUGAUCAAUGUAGCAACCAAAAACAUUAAUGCAUGCUUAAGAUCUUAGUAAACCUUAAUUAAGUCCAGCACUGGAAAAAUGAUCAUAUACAGGAAGGAUUUUAUUUUAAGUUCGUGCUUAUAUAUAUAUUCUUUAUGGCUUAAGCAUGCAUGAAUUGCCUGAAGUAAUUAGAAUGUUGUGUUUAAUUAACGUUGUGACUGCAAACAAAGGAAAAACGAACUCCCAGUCUGCAGCCACAUAUUUUUUUCAUAUAUCUGCGUGGACAUUAAGCAGAAUUAUUUUAAUUAAUCCCGAAUCAUAACAACUGCAAUAACUCCCACCCCAAGGAACACAGGAACAAACUUGAAGAAUGGAGUGUCGAAGUACAACUUAGCUUGUGGAUGGAAUCCUUUAGCUAUGAGAUAUAUGGUCGAUGGCAACAUAGAUAAAAACUCCACAUGCAAGUCGUCCCAGCUGAGAGAUAGCAUAGAUCCAACCAGCUGCUUGGCCUUGAGUAGUGGCAUCAAUGGCAAUGCCAUAUUUACAGGAAUAUGUUUUAAUCCUAAUUAAUGGGAAAAAAAACAGUCACAAUGAUUUCCAUUACUGGCUAGGUCAAACCAAUCCUAACCUUGAAAGAACUCAUUGUCAAAUCUCUAUUAGAAUUAACCACAUCAUAACAUAAGGAGAUGGGAUUCAGACUGAUAAACUCUCAUAGAAGUUACCAAAACUAAUAUUAAAAAUGAAAUCAAGCUACCAGGUCCAGAUUGAUUAAUUAAUAGCUUUCCUAUCAGCUAGCUUUUGCUAAAUAUGGAAGUUGCGAAAGAUAUAUAACUGCAAUUCAUGAACCAGUGGAAGUUCAUUAGCGCAGUUCCUUUUAUGGCCAAGGAUCAACGCAGGUUUGAAUUCCUAUAUUAAAGCUUUUUUUUGGAUUGUGGUAGCGAUGACAGUUCAAAGUGUUUUUCGUUUAGAAAUAUAUCAAAAUAAUUUUUUUUAUUUUUAAAAAAUUAUUUUUAAAAGUAACACAUUAAAAAUAUCUGAAAAUAUAAAAAAAAUAUAUUUUAAGUAAAAAAAAAAAAAAUUCAAAAUUUUCCCAAACACUCUUUUAGACAGUGUUGGAAACACGGUUUUUUUAAAAAAUUUAUUUUUUUAUAUUUUUAAAUCAUUUUGAUAUGUUAAUGUUAAAAAUAAUUUUUAAUUUUUUUUUUAAUAUAUUUUAAAACAAAAAACACACUUUAAAUUGUAUCGUUAUAAUCACCCUCUUUGCAUCAGCAACCGAGGGACAAACCAAGAUAAAAAUGAAAAAGAUUGGGAUUAACAAGCCAAGUCGAUUGUGUGAGUUCUACCCAGCUGGAGUUUCCCAUGGAAUUUACAUACGAAUGGGAUAAAUUGGUUCCUAGGUUAUCAAUAAGAAAAUUUUCUUUUCUUUUUAUCAUAAGAAAAAAUUGAUUCUAAAUAUUUAUAGUGUCUUUAAUUAUUUUUCAAAUAUUACAUAUUUUUAUUAUUGUUAGAGUAUUUUUAAAGUUUUGGACGAGGCAGGAUGAUCUGAACUUAAAAACCUGAGAUCAAAAUCAUCAUGAAUCAAGGCCAAGCCAGGAUGAUAUGAACUUAAAAACCUGAGAUCAAAAUCAUCAUGAAUCAAGGCCCAGGCACAGACCCAUGAACAAAUUGGAUAUAUUUUUCUGAAAAGUAGAGUUCGGAACAAAGAGAAGUAAAAAGAUGCAAAAAAAAAUCCAAGGAAAUCAAGAUGUGGUUAUCCACAUCCUUGUCUUGACAUUAAAUGGCUGCCACAUACUUCCACUACAUUGUAGCCAAAAACCUCUUUAUCCACACCAACAUUAAAGGCAACAGCUAAUUUGUAUAGUGUCAUAGAGCUAGCAAAAAUGGACAUAACUACACAGUCUCUUUCCAUGCCAAGCUUCCAGGCUGCUCAACUUCUCUCGCAACACCAAUCUUUCAUUCCAAAGCCUCACUUCUUGCCCAUAAUUCAAUCACAUUUCAGUCUCCUAAGAACUUUUUCACACAGCUACAAGGUGUUAGGAUUAAAGCAAAGAAGCAAAGGAGUCUUGGUGCUGUACAUGCUUCUGGGGCUGACAGCACUUUGACUGAUGUUGAAGAAAGAUGGCUUCUUGUACCCGUUGGUUAGUGAGUUCUGUUUUUCUUUCAAGAAUCGAUGAUUGAUGAUAAUUCCUGUUCACCACAUAAAUGAGAUUUAAGUUGCAAUUAGUGAUCAUGGUUUGUUGCCCAAUCUGAAGCAAACAAUGCUGUACCUAAUGUGAAUGACAGGUGAUGGGGAUUCAGGGCAUAUAGGUUUCAAGGUUAAAAUGCCAGAUGCAUUUGAAAUAGCUUCUGUGAGUGUCUCUAUUCCCUGUUCAUGAUCAUUGAAUUUUACUCGAACAUACACCAAUUAACAAGACCCUUCAAUUUUCUGCCAUUAAUCCAGAGUGAGGUUACUGUUGGCCGCCUCCCCGAUAAGGCAGACAUGGUGAUUCCAGUUGCAACAGGUGUUGGUUCAACCUGUCUGUGAAUUUCUUCAACCAACUUUUGACUUCCCUUGUUAAUGUCAUGCUGAUUUGAACAGUGUCUGCUCUACAUGCUCGCAUUCAGAACAAGGGAGGAAAUCUUGUGGUCACAGAUUUGGACAGUACUAAUGGAACAUUCAUCGAUAAGAAACGGCUGCCACCUGGAGCUUCUGUCAGUGUAUCGCCUGGAAGUCGUAUUACAUUCGGUAUUAUAACUCUAACUAGAUAUACUAUUUUCUCCCGUUUUUCUGCAUAAUUAUUAUACUGCAGUAUAUAUCUUUUAUCCAUGUUUUUUAUUCUUGAGUUCUGAAUCAUGUCUGACCAGUAUUAAAUAUAACUAAGUGCUGAAAAGCCAGUCCUUAAAGUGAAGGAUGGUGGCAGAUUAGAGGUGGGAAGGAGGAGAUGUUAAUUUUGAGCAAAAUUUGGGACCUAAUUCUUGAUUCUCUUACCGGUUUUCAGAAGAAUUUUGAUUUGUUUAAAUAGUACGGCGCCGCCGGCUUGAACAAUUAAAUUGUGGAUUAUCAUUAAUUUGUUUGUUUGUUGCUUAUUAGUUUUUAUUAUGAGCACCGGAUUAUCAACUCAGGAUAAUAUUUUUAUUAAAAUAAUAUUUUUUUUUGAGUUUAUUCAAAUUAAUUUGACAAUAUCAAUAUGAGUUAAUUAAUAUUGCCAUAUUAGUUGAAUUUUACUAAAUUAAUAUUUUUUUCAGUUUAACUUAAAAUUUAUUAUAAAUUAAAUUUUAAAUAAUAAGUUUUUUAAAUUAACCUGUGAAGUUAAACCGAGAUUAACAAUUAUACUUUUAAACACUACAAAAAAAAAAAAAUGAAUUACCUUCUCAUCUUUCAGCCCUUUUUAACAAGGGAGAAGAUGGACCAAUUCCCGUUGCUUCUUAAUGAAAAGCUUAUGAACUGCAUCCCAAAAACUUGAAAGUAUUUUUCCAUAAAAAAAACAAAAUUGAAGGAAAAAAGAAAGAAAAACAGAUGGAAUAAUCGAAUACGAUGGAUGUGAGCUUGUAAUUAAAGACAAUCAACUAGAACAGAACAUUCUUGUAUAGUGGCACAUGCAUGCGUUGACCUUAAUUUAAGAUUGGUUCAUCUUUCCAUAUAUGCCCAAAAAGUCACGAUAUCUAAAAAGGGUUGUCAUUUAUCAGCUAAAGCUAGUCACAAUCAUAAAUAAACUGACCAAUCUAGCUAUAUAAUUCUAAAUCCUUUGUUAGGUAUAGAAUUAUAAAACAAUAUUAAACGUAUAUUUGUUGUUUUUGUAGUUCAAACUCCUUUUCAAAAAAAAUUGAAUUGAUUUUUAUUUGAAAAAAUUAUUAAUUUUUUUUUGUUUUUCAAUAAUUUUAAUAUGCUAAUACAAUAAUUUUAAAAUUUUAAUAUGACCUUAAUUUUAUUUUGUCUCGUAAGGGCAGGAGUUAAGGCCUAGAAACAGCAUCUAUCCCAGAGCACUAAUCCUAAUUAACUCACAGCCCAAGUUAUUAAGAUUCCAGUCCUUACAAUUGUAUAUCUCCAAAAUGAUCAAAAUCUAACCAUUGUGGUGUUAUGAUGAUCAGUUAUGGCCCUAUAAAGACUAAGCAAGACAAUUAAUUUGUUCAGAUAAACUAUAUGCAUGAAUAUGUAUAUAUUUUAUCAAUACCCUUCGAAGGAUGUGAGGGGUCAACGAAAUCAAUUCAUUCAAGUUGAUAAUCCCUUUUUCUGCAUAAAUUCUUGCAGAACCUUUAAGAGGGAUAUAAUCUAGAGGAAUAUAGAGCAUUAUAAAAGUGAUAUUUUCUAUUCUUUCAUGGCCUAUAAAGAAAGACUUCGACAUGUAGAAUUGACAUUGCAUUUGUAGCAUAUAUAUGAAUUGAGAGAAGAGAGGUCUAAUAUGAGGAUCAGAGCCUUGUGUGGAAGCCAAGGGUGACUUGCCUGAGCAUUUCAGGAAGGUUUCUAUAUGAAAGCUUUUUGUUAGUUUUGCAGGAAGUCAACCUCGGCUUUCCUGUAGUCUCUUCUUUCUCAUGCUAUGCCUUUCUCUUCUUCCAUAACAAGAUCAAAAACAUAUAAAGGGUAUGCAUUUAGACAUUAACUUGAUCGAUGCAUUACAUUGUUCAACAUAUUAUUUUGAAGAAUCCAUCAAGGUUUUACAUUAUAUUCUUUGAUUUAAUGGCCUUUUCUGUAUACACUCACAAUGUUAGGGUAGAAUGACACAUGAGAGGUUUAGGCUUUUUUGACAAUGCGGUACACUCCUUUUAUACUUGCAUUUUCUCUGGCUGAAAAUAAUUUUAAAAAAUAAUUUUUAAUUGUGAUUGAUUUGAUUAAAAUAUAUAUUUUGUUAAAAUUUUAAUUGAAGUUGUUGUUUAACUAAAAAAUAUAUUCGGAGUGUUUUUUUUAAAAAAUUAUAGUUGAAAUUGAUGUUGAUAAUAAAACGACAAAAAAAAACAUAUAUUAAUUUUUUAAUUUAGAAAUAUAUUUAUAUGCAUUUGAUUGUUAAUACAUUCUAAAAACACACAUGCAAAUUGUAACACUAGUUUUUUUAUUUCAUUAAACUUAUUGUAAAUAUUACAAACAUAAGUAUUUUGUUGCGAUGUACUUGUUAUUAGUAUAGGUUUUUUAAAAGAUAGUGAUUAUUAAAUAUCAAAUCCAUAUCUUUCUUUUUCACGGAUAAAAAACUUAAAGCUUUCUGAUCUAAAUCUCAUAAAAACAUUAAUUCAACCCCGUCAAAAAAACAAAGGGGGUCAUAGUUUGCUGGUCAUUCAUAGACAAGGGCACCAGUGACGUGUCAAAAGUACAGUUUUUCAUGCUCCAACAAACGCUCGUUGGUGAAUAAAGGAUAUAUACGUGACAAAAUGAGAUGAGAGAGAGAGAGGGUUGUAAUUUCAUCAAUGAACAAUUUUUAUUUAUGCUCCAAAGAAGAGCACAAUGAACUCUGUAAUAUAUUACAAAAACUCCGCCACGUUUUCUUUUCCAGUGAGCUCGAUAGUCAGCUUUUGAGAAUGGCAAGCCAGAAAUACAGAGAAGUCCAAUAGGAAUGCUAGUGGGCAACUAACAAUUUUCAACGAAAACAUUAGGAAAGCAGCAGCAACACAAAAUUUUAAGUUAGAAUUUGCAACCCAGAAGAAAAAAUCAUGAUCAUAGCUAGCAUUGGUCAACACUUGGGAAGAUCAGAUGGUGGAGGAGGGAGCUUCUGACUGGGAAGUGUUCCAUCCAAGACAAUCCAUGCCAUCCUUAACCCCCAGCUCAAAUGGACAUCAAAGUGGCAGUGCAUAAACCAUACUCCUGCGUCACAACACAUUAAUUAUGUCGAUAUGAUUAAGAAAACGUUAGUAGAAUAGAUGAAAAUCCUAAAAAUAACAGAAUGAAAAAGGAAAGGGUGUGCUUUAACUUAUUAAUUAUUAUUGUUAUUAUUAUUAUUAUUAUUAUUGUUAAGAAAUAGUGCUACGGACCUGGAUUGUCUGCAUGAAAACGAAUUGCCACCCAACCAGCAGUAGGCACACCAACAGUGUUCCUUUCAACAGGAUCAACAAGGUUAAAGUUCUUGGGGUCAUUAUUUGGAUCAAAAUUUCCAAACCCUUCUCCAACAACAUAGAAAUUGAAGCCAUGAAGAUGGAGAGGGUGGCUCUCAGCACCGAAAAUGCGAGUGCCCUGCAUCACUACCUCCACGCUUGUGUUAAAUGGUACCACUACAAGCUUGGUACCAUUGGCCACAAGAGUAUUAUUUGGUGGGGUCCCUGUGUAGUUGAAUGGAUGGAGAGGAAAGCUUGGGAAAUCAGAGGUGUAAACCCCAUUUGAUUUUUUGAAAAAAUAGGAUUGAAGGAGUGCUGAUGAAGGGAGAGCCAUGGAGAUGUUGUUAACAGAAGCUGAAAAUUUCGUGCCAUUAGGCCCUUGACAUGUCUGGUUUUUUGGGCACGGGCUGUUUCCCAGACCAACUGUGAAGAAAAAUUUCUUGUCUACUGUUUGAGGGACAUUAACCGGGAAUCGAGAAUUAGCCAGACUGCGAAGUCUUCUUGUGAAAUUCGCGACGACAUUUGUAGCAUUAAUCGGAGGAAGGGUUGGUUUAAAAGCUGUUGAAUUUGAAGAAGUUUCAUACUCGAGUAUCCCUGCAACAGUUGUGUUGUCAAAUGUGCCUUGGCCAGUAAAGUAUGGUCUUGCUAACAUGUAGAAUGAUGCAUUGGGGGCAAUGGGUUUGGCCUUCAGAAGAACAUUUGUGGUCUGUCCUGCUGUGAUAACCAAGAGGUUAGUCUCAAAAGGCUUCGCGUAAGUAGCAUCCACUUCAACAACGGUGAAGGUGUGGUUUGCAAUGCUGAAAAAGAGGUCAUCAUUGAGUGCAGCAUUGAUCAAUCGGAGAAGAUACGUCUUUCCUGGCUUCACCUUUAGCUUGUAUGUAUCUGCAAGUUAUAAACAUAUGAUACAAAAACAAAUGUCCAAGUGUGUGUUUGUGUUUGUGUAAAAUAAGCUUUCAAGUAUCAAUUUGGGUGACCAAAAGAGUUAUUAUGAUCACUUACUAUUUUCUGAGCAAUUGUACAAUGGACCUGGAAGUCCAUUAAAGGUGUAGGCUUCAGAGACAUUUGGCCCCCCUCCUGUCUGUAAAGCCUGGCUAAUCACUGCCUCAGUAUCAGCAUUGAACCACU
rnacentral:lncRNA from 1 species